AGAUUGAACGCUGGCGGCAUGCUUUACACAUGCAAGUCGAACGGCAGCACGGGGGCAACCCUGGUGGCGAGUGGCGAACGGGUGAGUAAUACAUAGGAACGUAUCCUGAAAUGGGGGAUAGCUCGGCGAAAGCCGGAUUAAUACCGCAUACGAUCCACGGAUGAAAGCAGGGGAUUCGCAAGAACCUUGCGUUUCUGGAGCGGCCUAUGUCUGAUUAGCUAGUUGGCGGGUAAAAGCCCACCAAGGCGACGAUCAGUAGCUGGUCUGAGAGGAUGAUCAGCCACACUGGGACUGAGACACGGCCAGACUCCUACGGAGGCAGCAGUGGGGAAUUUUGGACAAUGGGGGCAACCCGUGAUCCAGCCAUGCCGCGUGAGUGAAGUAAGGCCUUGGUCGUAAAGUCUCUUUCGCGAGGAAAGAACGUAGGAUAGUUAAGUACCAUCCACUAAUGACGUACCUUGAGUAAGAAGCACGACUAACUACGUAGACCAGACAGACCCG
rnacentral:rRNA from 1 species